CAGCCGCCGCGGUAAGACAGAGGUCCCGAGCGUUGUUCGGAUUCAUUGGGCGUAAAGGGUGUGUAGGAGGCCAGGUAAGUCAGGUGUGAAAUCUCAGAGCUUAACUCUGAAACUGCGCUUGAUACUGCUUGGCUAGAGGAUCGGAGGGGGUAACGGAAUUUAUGGUGUAGCAGUGAAAUGCGUAGAUAUCAAGAGGAACGCCAGUGGCGAAAGCGGUUUCCUGGAAGAUUCCUGACUCUGAAACACGAAAGCCAGGGGAGCGAAUGGGAUUAGAUACCCCGGUAGUCCCUGUCUCUUAUAC
rnacentral:rRNA from 1 species